rnacentral:rRNA from 1 species
GCACGUAAUGGUGGGGACUCUGGAGGGACUGCCAGGGACAACCUGGAGGAAGGUGGGGAUGACGUCAAAUCAUCAUGCCCCUUAUGACCAGGGCUACACACGUGCUACAAUGGCGUAAACAAAGAGAAGCGAGGCUGUGAAGCGGAGCAAAUCUCAAAAAUAACGUCUCAGUUCGGAUUGUAGUCUGCAACUCGACUACAUGAAGCUGGAAUCGCUAGUAAUCGCGAAUCAGAAUGUCGCGGUGAAUACGUUCCCGGGUCUUGUACACACCGCCCGUCACACCAUGGGAGUUGGUAACGCCCGAAGUCAGUGACCCAACCGUAAGGAGGGAGCUGCCGAAGGCGGGACCGGUAACUGGGGUGAAGUCGUAACAAGGUAGCCGUAUCGGAAGGUGCGGCUGGAUCACCUCCUUU